GUCAUUACCGAGUGAGGGCCCUCUGGGUCCAACCUCCCACCCGUGUUUAUUUUACCUUGUUGCUUCGGCGGGCCCGCCUUAACUGGCCGCCGGGGGGCUUACGCCCCCGGGCCCGCGCCCGCCGAAGACACCCUCGAACUCUGUCUGAAGAUUGAAGUCUGAGUGAAAAUAUAAAUUAUUUAAAACUUUCAACAACGGAUCUCUUGGUUCCGGCAUCGAUGAAGAACGCAGCGAAAUGCGAUACGUAAUGUGAAUUGCAAAUUCAGUGAAUCAUCGAGUCUUUGAACGCACAUUGCGCCCCCUGGUAUUCCGGGGGGCAUGCCUGUCCGAGCGUCAUUGCUGCCCUCAAGCCCGGCUUGUGUGUUGGGCCCCGUCCCCCGAUCUCCGGGGGACGGGCCCGAAAGGCAGCGGCGGCACCGCGUCCGGUCCUCGAGCGUAUGGGGCUUUGUCACCCGCUCUGUAGGCCCGGCCGGCGCUUGCCGAUCAACCCAAAUUUUUAUCCAGGUUGACCUCGGAUCAGGUAGGGAUACCCGCUGAACUUAAGCAUAUCAA
rnacentral:rRNA from 1 species